CCGAAUUGGUACCUUGUUCUA
rnacentral:snRNA from 1 species